rnacentral:rRNA from 1 species
CCCAGACUCCUACGGGAGGCAGCAGUGGGGAAUAUUGCACAAUGGGGGAAACCCUGAUGCAGCGACGCCGCGUGAGCGAUGAAGUAUUUCGGUAUGUAAAGCUCUAUCAGCAGGGAAGAAAAUGACGGUACCUGACUAAGAAGCCCCGGCUAACUACGUGCCAGCAGCCGCGGUAAUACGUAGGGGGCAAGCGUUAUCCGGAUUUACUGGGUGUAAAGGGAGCGUAGACGGUUCUGCAAGCCAGAUGUGAAAGCCCGGGGCUCAACCCCGGGACUGCAUUUGGAACUGUAAGGCUAGAGUGUCGGAGAGGCAGGCGGAAUUCCUAGUGUAGCGGUGAAAUGCGUAGAUAUUAGGAGGAACACCGGCGGCGAAGGCGGCCUGCUGGACCGAAACUGACGUUGAGGCUCGAAAGCGUGGGGAGCAAACAGGAUUAGAUACCCUCGUAA